rnacentral:ncRNA from 1 species
GAGAGCCGUGUGCUAUGAAAGUAGCAAGCACGGUUCGGAGGGGGACAGUUGGUUAUCCUUCGGGACCCGGCUGUCUACCCUAC